AUGAACCCUUCUCCAGGCUUAAUGAUUGUGAUACUCUUCCUGCUAGGACAAACACUUGGAGAUUCAGUGAAUCAGACAGGAGGCCAAGUGACCCUCUCUGAAAAGGCUUCCCUGACUAUCACCUGCACUUACUCUGCCUCAGGGUACCCCAGACUUUUCUGGUAUGUUCAAUAUCCGGGAGAAGGCCCAAAGGUCCUCCUGAAAGCCCAGAAGGACAAAGAAGUUGGAAGACAGAAAGGGUUUGAAGCCACGUACCUCAAAGACUCAAAAUCCUUCCACUUGGAGAAAGCGGCAGUGCAAGAGUCAGACUCAGCUGUGUACUACUGUGCUGUGAGUGACACAGUGACAGGAUCUGCAGGGGGAGCUGAGCACAAACCCUGA